GAAAUCGGAACUCGCAUUAGGGGGCAGAGCUCAUCAACUCCAUUCUUAAAAAAACGUGCAGGUCGCAAGGCAUUUGAAAAAUGUCAGUGAGAUGUACUUCAGUGAAGAUCACUUUCAUCCAUUCUCAUUGUUUCUACAUUUGGACUGCUAAAAAUGUUUUACCUGUUGUAUUUUUUAAAAAUUUUGUAUUUCGGCAUUAUACGCAAAUAAAAUAUUAUUUGUUCUUC